rnacentral:lncRNA from 1 species
GGAGACCCGGCCAACGUGGCCUCUCUGCAGAGCCUUCAAAGAUGAAUAGGAGUUUGCUGAACCUGAGAGCAUGUGUCUGCUGGGGUGGACUUCAGUCGGAUUAAAGUGUGUGCGGGAACAGUCAGAGAGGAAGGUAUGAAAAUUCCACACAUCUCCACUGGUGUGCGAGAUGGUGAGAGUGAACAGAUCAUCACACUCCUGGGAUGGGAAGAAAGUCCAGUGUUCUACCAAGUCGAUGGUCUUCAGCUUCCCUCACACCAAACUUAUCUAGGUGAACUUGGACCCCACACCCAGAUUGGAUGCAGAUUUUCCUUCAAGAACCUUUACUCGGGUGAGAAGAGCUUCCCAAGACUCAUGGGCUCUUUGAGGCUUUAUGAAGGGAUUCGUCCUUCGAGCUGCUUAUCUUGUCCCGGGAGAAUUUCCCUGCAUUUUUUUGCUCUGUUCCAGUGGUUUCUUCCUCUUGGUCUCCCUGGCCAUUAAUUCAGAGAGAUGGAUUCAUUCCUAGAUGCGGAGAUGGACACCCCAUGAAUCAAAACUCAAAGGCUGAAUUUCAGGAUCAUUGGAGAGAGACCUUGGACUGGUGUCAAAGAGGGGGAAGAGCCCUGCCUGUCAGAUGUGACCUUCUGAAACAAUGUCUCCAAAUUUCUCUGAUCAUACACCUUUCUCUGUUUUCAAAACUGGAGUAUGCCCUCCAAUACAUCACUCAUUUAUUUUUGCAUGUCUGAAUUUGUUAAUAUAUUAUGAACUUUAUAAACCAAAUACAAAAAGUAAAAAUUUUAAAGAGAGAAGACAGAAAUCC